rnacentral:rRNA from 1 species
UACGUAGGGUGCAAGCGUUAAUCGGAAUUACUGGGCGUAAAGUGUGCGCAGGCGGCAGAGCAAGUCGAGUGUGAAAGCCCCGGGCUUAACUUGGGAAUUGCGCUCGAAACUACUUUGCUGGAGUGUGGCAGAGGAAGGUGGAAUUCCAGGUGUAGCGGUGAAAUGCGUAGAGAUCGGGAGGAACACCCGUAGCGAAGGCGGCACUCUGGGCCGGUACUGACGCUGAGACGCGAAAGCGUGGGGAGCGAACAGG